GGGCCCGCACAAGCGGUGGAGCAUGUGGUUUAAUUCGAUGCAACGCGAAGAACCUUACCAGGGCUUGACAUACUACAAAUCCUUUUGAGAAAAAAGGAGUGCCUUCGGGAAUGUAGAUACAGGUGGUGCAUGGCUGUCGUCAGCUCGUGUCGUGAGAUGUUGGGUUAAGUCCCGCAACGAGCGCAACCCUUAUUUUUAGUUACCAAUUCGUUGGGUUCUCUAGAAAGACUGCCGGUGACAAACCGGAGGAAGGUGAGGAUGACGUCAAGUCAGCAUGCCCCUUAUGUCCUGGGCUACACACGUGCUACAAUGGCUAAGACAAAGAGUCGCGAGCUUGCAAAAGUCAGCU
rnacentral:rRNA from 1 species